rnacentral:misc_RNA from 1 species
UUUCCGUAGGUGAACCUGCGGAAGGAUCAUUAACGAGUUAGGGUCUUCUAGGCCCGACCUCCCAACCCUUUGUUUACUGAACCAUUGUUGCCUCGGUGGGUCCGUCUUACGACCGCCGGGGGAUCGCCGCGAGGUGCCCCCUGGCCAGCGCCCACCGAUAGCCCAACCUUUAAAACCCUUUGUGAAUCGUGUCUUAUGUAUAAAUUUAUGAUUAAACAAUCAAAACAAAACUUUCAACAACGGAUCUCUUGGUUCUG